rnacentral:rRNA from 1 species
UACGUAGGGUGCAAGCGUUGUCCGGAAUUAUUGGGCGUAAAGAGCUCGUAGGCGGCUUGUCGCGUCGACUGUGAAAACCCGUGGCUCAACCAUGUGGUCUGCAGUCGAUACGGGCAGGCUAGAAUUCGGUAGGGGAGACUGGAAUUCCUGGUGUAGCGGUGAAAUGCGCAGAUAUCAGGAGGAACACCGGUGGCGAAGGCGGCUAUCUGGACAGAAACUGACGCUGAGGCGCGAAAGCUAGGGGAGCAAACAGG